AAAACUUGGGGACUCCCAUUUUGACCGUCGACACUAAUUCCAGUCGGUGCAGAAACGAAACCAAACGCCCCGCCCGGGCCUUCGCCGCCGCCUCCGGCCGUCGCUCGGAGGAUGACAACACAAGCUCAAUCUAUGGACUUUUUCAUCUUCCUGUGACAGCUAAUGGCAACCCGAAGAAGAUAGGUCAAUGAAAACUGAAAUGACCUUCUAAUCUUCCUCCAGAAUUCUAACAGGAGAAAAUUACUGACGUUCUUAAAGAACCCACUCUGGUACUAUUUGUUUAAGCUGUUAUUACUAUUUGAAAUCAGGACCUAGCACAUACUGAGCAAGAUGGGAGGCAAAGACUGGAGAAAUUCUGAAAGCUUAAGGCCUGGCCUACAUCGUGACAAGAGCCUCUGUUUCAAACAAGGCAGGACUCCAGUUUCUACAGAAAACAAGCUGAAUCACCUAGCCUCGUGGGAGUGAGCAACUACUGACUCUUGGACUUUCCAUUCACAGCUGCCUGUUGUUGAGUUGUUUGGACUGGAUUUCAAUAAAUUCCCUUAAUCUAUACAUUCCAUAAAUCCUAUGACUUUAGAGAACCCUGACUAAUACACUUAUGAGAAAGAACUUGCUACUAUAAAUGACCUGCUUCUUACCAUACUGUUGCCUUAAAUUUUUCUUUUUAAAAUGUUGAGACAUGAUACCAUCUGCAGUCAUGGCUGACACUGACUCCAUGUUCCUCCUGCCUUGAACUUCCUGAGUGCUGGGAUUCCAGGCAUGCAUCACCAUAGUUAACUACCUCUGCCUGUUAGAGCUCGUUUAUAAGCACUGCCUAUAAUAUCCAUUACUAUGGUGUUUGCUAGUUCGUAAAAUUCUACUUCCUCAGUCUUGCAUUUAUUCAUUCCAAUAUUACUACAAUAAAGAUUUUUUUCUACUUACCGUUUCUGAAAGUAUUUGAUAAUAUAAGUAUGAGGGUACACUUAUUUUAUUUCAUGGGUUAUAAUUAAUUACGAUGAACAUCACUUUUUCUAAAGUUAUCCCAAGCUAGGACAGCGUUCUAAUCCAACCAAAAAUCAUUUCUCUGACAGAAAACUAACUUUGUUAUUCAUAGAAUAUUUGCUUAUUUCUAUAGGCAGAUGAAUUUCAGAAUUGCUAACAAAUAUUUCAGAAAAAUGAAUAUUCAGCUUUUUUUGUAAGCUACCUCAAAAGUUUUUUUGCACUGAAAAAGAGAAGGGUCCAAAGGAAGGAAGGGAAGAAAGAAGAUCCUACAUGCUUCUAUAUGUAGAAUAUAAAUUCUACCAGGCUUAGGUAAAAUAUGUGCAUUGAUAUGAUAAAAACUAUUAUUACAUAUUACACGUUUGUAGCUAGCAACCUCAGUAUAUGCUUCUAUCAUAAGAAUAACUACAAUACCCUUUU